ACGCUGAUCUGUCAAAGAGGAAGAAAACAUUUUUUAGAUGGCCAUAUUUACUGUAAAAAAAAAUAACGUGGGUAAGGCUUCAGGCUACACACGUUGCACUCUGCCGUUGAUCAGCACUUGCGAGAAAUCCCAGCAGGCCUGGAAAGCGGAUCCAAGCCAUAGUCGCACUUGGAAAAGGUCUUAAAGGGUCAAAAUCAAUCGUCCAUGGCUGGACCACGAGAUAAUGCCCAACACUAUCCAAAAGCCUUGGGUCAGAGCCAUAUCAUAAUCAUCUCUAUUCUGGAAUUGGACUAGAUAGUAACCAUUUUCCACAUCCAUUAGACGAAAGGGUUGAGAGGGUCUCAAAAGGUUGUAGAUCUGAUUGUGCAAGACUCCAUACCCUAUGUUGCGUCCCAACAACUUAACAACAACAGUAAUUUCCAUGUCUUUAACCAUGAUUUUUUUAGCCGUUACGAGAAAUCAAUAGUAGGGAUACCAUUGAUUGUGGAUUGAAGAA